AAGCAAACUGGUUCUAUCGCUGUCUCGCCUUAGGCGGGAAAGAGGAAAGUCCGGGCAACAUAGAGCGACACGCUUCCUAACGGGAAGGAUUCUACUUCGGUGGAAUACAGAAAGUGCCACAGAAAAUAUACCGUCUGCCCAAUUGGGUAGGUAAGGGUGAAAACGUGAGGUAAGAGCUCACGGUAUUGUAUGGCGACAUGCAUUACGGUAAACCUCGUGUGUUGAAAGACCAAAUAGGUUACGAAACUCGAAGGCUGCUCGUCUUCUACCGGUUUAUCGGUAUUCGUAAUGGGUAGGUUGAUGGAGCUUGUGCGUAAGUGCAAGCCUAGAUAAAUGAUAGAGGACUGAUUUAUUUCGGUUACAGAACCCGGCUUACAAGGUUUGCUUCUUU
rnacentral:RNase_P_RNA from 1 species